rnacentral:rRNA from 1 species
CUAAAAACCUAGCCCAACAACUCCAACCGAACCACUUAACCAAAUAAAUUAAAAUAUUUUAAUGAUCUAGUAAAGAAGAUUGAAAAAUUUCACAGAGCAAUAGCCAUGUACCGCAAGGGAAAAUUGAAAUACUAAUGAAAUAAAAUAAAGCACAAAAUAGUAAAGAUUAUCCCUUGUACCUUUCGCAUCAUGAUUUAGCUAGUCCCACCAAGCAAAAAGACUUUAAGUUUGACACCCCGAAACUAAGUGAGCUACUCUGAGGCAACCUGAUAGCCAACCCGUCUCUGUUGCAAAAGAGUGGGAAGACCCCAAAGUAGCGGUUACACACCUAUCGAACUUAGUGAUAGCUGGUUGCCCAUGAAAAGAAUAUUAGUUCCACCUAAAGUUGCCCAACCACUUCUCAAUGCCUGACUUUAGAGCUAUUCAAACAGGGUACAGCCUAUUUGAAACAGGACACAACCUUAGCUGGCGGAUAAUUCACCACCCCCCCCCCCCACAAUAAGUAGGCCUAAGAACAGCCACCUUUAAAAAUGCGUCAAAGCUUAAUCUGACAAACUACCUACCUAAUAACCCCACCAACCCCCUACCAAUAAUGAGCACUUCUAUAACUUAUAGAAAAUAUUAUGCUAAAACUAGUAACAAGAAGAAGCAAUUCUUCUCCUUCAUGCAAACAUAACCCAGCCCAGGAUAACCCCCCGGAAAUUAACAGCCUCAAACCUUAUGACAACACUACCUCAAGAAACCCCCAUUAACGUCCGCUGUUAACCUAACACAAGAGCAUGACAAGAAAGAUUUAAAGAGCAGGAAGGAACUCGGCAAAUUUAAAUCCCGCCUGUUUACCAAAAACAUCGCCUCCCGACCAAACAUGGGAGGUCCAGCCUGCCCAGUGAAUAAUUUAACGGCCGCGGUACACUAACCGUGCAAAGGUAGCACAAUCACUUGUCCUUUAAAUAAGGACUUGUAUGAACGGCACCACGAGGAUUAAACUGUCUCCCCCCUCUAAUCUGUGAAACUAAUCCUCCUGUGAAAAAGCAGGAAUCUACCUAUAAGACGAGAAGACCCUGUGGAACUUCAAACAAACAACACCUGCUCAACCUUCUAAUCCUUCCCGAACCGCUAUAUUCACGAGCACCCUGAUUGUAAGUUUUAGGUUGGGGCGACCACGGAGAAAAACCUAUCCUCCACGAUGAACAGACCUAAAUCCAGUCAUAAGCCACAGCUUUACAAAUCAACAAACUGACAUUAUUGACCCAAAUUCUUGAUCAACGAAAUAAGCUACCCCAGGGAUAACAGCGCAAUCUACUUCGAGAGUACUUAUCAACAAGUAGGCUUACGACCUCGAUGUUGGAUCAAGGUGUCCUAGUGGUGCAGCCGCUACAUAGGUUCGUUUGUUCAACGAUUAAAACCCUACGUGAUCUGAGUUCAGACCGGAGUAAUCCAGGUCGGUUUCUAUCUAUAAGGAGCCACCUCCAGUACGAAAGGACCGAGGAAGCAAGGCCAAUAAAAACUUAAGCCUUAUCAGACAAUUUAUGUUCUACUUAAUAAAAUUCUCCAGCCAAAAUAUACCUCUAGACAAGAGUA